rnacentral:lncRNA from 1 species
CUCCUGAUCCAACGCCUCACAAUUUUUUUUAUUUUUAAUUUCUGAUUUUAAUUUUCAUUUUAUUUCUUUUAUUCCAUUUCAUUCCAAAAAAUCAUAUCUCACUCAUUAUUGGUCCAAAAAAUGUGAGACCAAUUGCAUUGUUUCUCUUUUAAUCUCUAGUUUCUAAAAAUGAUUUUUAAUAUUUUUUAUUUUAUCAUUUGAUAUUUUUUAUGAAUUUUAUUUGUUCUGGUUGUUUUU